AUUGAACGCUGGCGGCAUGAUUUACACAUGCAAGUCGAACGGUAACAGGCCGCAAGGUGCUGACGAGUGGCGAACGGGUGAGUAAUGCAUCGGAACGUGCCCAGUCGUGGGGGAUAACUACUCGAAAGAGUAGCUAAUACCGCAUACGAUCUAUGGAUGAAAGCGGGGGACCGUAAGGCCUCGCGCGAUUGGAGCGGCCGAUGUCAGAUUAGGUAGUUGGUGGGGUAAAGGCUCACCAAGCCAACGAUCUGUAGCUGGUCUGAGAGGACGACCAGCCACACUGGGACUGAGACACGGCCCAGACUCCUACGGGAGGCAGCAGUGGGGAAUUUUGGACAAUGGGCGCAAGCCUGAUCCAGCAAUGCCGCGUGCAGGAAGAAGGCCUUCGGGUUGUAAACUGCUUUUGUACGGAACGAAACGGCUCUGGUUAAUACCCGGGGCUAAUGACGGUACCGUAAGAAUAAGCACUGGCUAACUACGUG
rnacentral:rRNA from 1 species